CCUUCAAGGACGUAAUGAAGAAGCAGUGGCUGUACUGAAGAAACUUUCAUCCGCAACCCGCUGUGAUUACUUGGAGCACAUAAUUAGCUCAGGCAACAUUUCUUUAAAACAUGAAAAGGUGAAGGAUGAUUAGUUUACAUCAAUGAAGAAGCUAUUUGAGAAAGGAUGGGCUUGUAGAAGAAUAUUGAUAAUCAUGGGACUUGGCUGCAGCCUUGGUUUGGUGCACUACGGGAUUCCGUUGGGGUUAGGCAACUUGGGUUCCAAUCUCUACCCGAGUGUUACAUUUAACGCCAUAAUUGAGGUGCCCUCAGCUUUUAUCAUCUUAUUCUUUGUAGAUAAAUGGAACAGGAUAAGUUCUAUACUCACGUUAUUCUUAGUAAGUGGAAUAAGCUGCAGCAUCUGUGCUAUAACUGGAAGUAAAUGGGAAGGGGUAAAGACUGGGUUUGAGCUAUUAGCAUUCUUUUGCGCUUGCUCAUCAGUGAUUUUUUAUCUGGAUUCACGGUAGAGCUAUUUCCUACUACAGUCAGGAAUUUGGCUACAUUACUGUAAAGGCAAUCCCACAUGUUUGGUUCUGUGUUCAGUCCUAUGUUGAUAUAUGAAGGAAGAAAAGGCAAGUUUUUUCCAUAUGAAGGCAAUCCCACAUGUUUGGUUCUGUGUUCAGUCCUAUGUUGAUAUAUGAAGGGAGAAAAGACAAGUUUUUUCCAUAUGGAGUGUUCGUGACUGUGAUGAUGAUUUCUGGAGUUUUGCCGUGUUUGUUGCCAGAAACAAGGGGUGCAAAAUUAUGUGAUACCAUGGAUGAACAGGAAAGCAAGGAGACCGAUCACGUUGUGUAAUGGAAUCAAUGCUAUAUGAUAUUCGAACUCCAUUAUUGCUUUUGUUUGGGGAUUUUAUUUUCUCUGUAUUUAUGUUACUGGUAUCACGAUGUACAGAGUAGCGGGAGGGAGAGCUACUUAACUGCUAGGGUGGUGUCUGCAUUGGUUAAACAGUUGAAGUUUGCACUGGCAGUACUGUACAAAUUCGAAAGCCAUAAACAAAUGAGCCGGGCCUUGUGUUAAUGUCAAAAGUUGUGUCAUGGUGGUGCUGUGAGGUCACGGUCCCAGAGCUUUAGCAGAGCAGGCAGGGCAUUUCUAAACUGUAUGUUUAUUAUUAUUGUUGUUGUUGUUUGUUUGAUUACCCAUUACCACCAUGUUAUGUGACGGACUCCAAUUUUUUCACAUCCGAAACUGAUUACCAUGUGUUAUAGAACCAAAAAAAAACUAUUUGGUUUAGAGGUUGGAUAGUGUUGUCAACACUUGUCAAGGAAUUUGUGCAGACUCGACAGCUAGUUUUGCAUAAGUAAAUGGAUUUGGUUGUGCCUUUUUAUCAAUAAUAAAGCUUGAAAAACGCAGCCUGGUCCUUGGAGCCAACCAGCAGCUAAUUAAUAAAAGACACGGCACACUCACCACUCCUCACCCUGACUGGGCUGGACGUUCUUUUAAUGAUAGCCAUGAUCUUGGCGUAUCCUGCUUUUUGCGUAGGCUUGCGGUGGACGACAUUGGUCCUGGUUCCCAUGAACAUGUCAGCUUGUGCCAAAAUGGACACAAUGUUUUCAUGGCAUCUGAUGGAUCAUCCCGCUAUGGAAUGUCAACUAUCGGGGAGGAUUUUUAUGGCAGGGUUUCUGCAUCAUCUUCCUUCAAUUUUGGUCUUCACGGCACCAAUUCCAUACAGUUAUGAUCGACUAUUCCCCCCACAUGUUUGCUGGGGUAGAGAAAACAAGGAAGCUUGCUAUAAGUACUGCUUGCCUACCUGGAAUUGAGCGUGCUCUCGUGAGCAACUUUGAACGUAAGUGUUUUGAUGGGUGCGCAAAUCCAUACUCGGCUCUGGCUGCUAUAAUUUCCCCUGGCAUGAUGGUCUUAGAAAGCUUCUUCCUCUUCCUGAAACUGUCGCUUAAUAAAAACUCAAUCUUGCCUUCAGCAUGUUGUGUUCUGGGUAUUUUAUUCUCCUUUUGGUUAGCAGGUCAGAGUUUCAUUGUUUUCCCGGUUCUUAAAAUUAUGUUGUAUGCUAACAUCUUGAUAUUGUUUUGUAAGUUUUGGCACAGAUUUAGACCCUUCUACGCUUGAAAAUGUUCCAAGACUGCCUCGAUCACUUUCUGAGUCUUUGAAAGUUCUUAAAAAAGACAGUCAUGUAUGAGCUAAUUGGAGAAAAGCUUUUGGUUGCUAUAAAAGCAGUUCGCAAGGCAGAGAUUGAUGACCACUCAAAUAAUCCAGAAGCUUACAAGGAAUUGAUACACACCGCAUUAAGGAUAUUGAUUGCUGAAAAAUGCAAGGAAUCCCCAUGGGAGCUCUUUUGCUGACAUUUAUGUGGAAAUAAAGAGAUAAAGAGAUAAGAGUUGGACCAUCUCAAUUGCAUUUUUGUUUCUGGCAAUGCUUGCUAGCCUCUUCAAAUUUUUGACAAAGCCAAUUUGUUAGGGUGCAAUAUUUUCAAUUAUAAGAUCAAUGAUAAGUUUGCUUUCAACAAAGUCUUUCAAGGUUAUAUUUUCUCCUUUCGAA